rnacentral:rRNA from 1 species
UACGGAGGGUGCGAGCGUUGUCCGGAAUCACUGGGCGUAAAGGGCGCGUAGGCGGCCUGAUAAGUAGGGGGUGAAAUCCUGCGGCUUAACCGCAGGGCUGCCUUCUAAACUGUCAGGCUAGAGCACGGUAGAGGCAGAUGGAAUUCCCGGUGUAGCGGUGGAAUGCGUAGAGAUCGGGAGGAACACCUGUGGCGAAGGCGGCCAGCUGGGCCGGACCUGACGCUGAGACGCGAAGGCGUGGGGAGCGAACGGG